rnacentral:misc_RNA from 1 species
GCACCAGGAACACAAGGAUAAAUGUAUUUGAAAAACUCAUCACAAUAUGACUGGCUAGGACUCAUUUCCUUGUUGUAGCAAAGACCCCAGGCCAAUGGUCCUCCUGUGGCCACUCCAUAACCACAAGAGGUUUUGCUGCCAACAUGACCAAGGAAAGCAGAUAUUUCCUUCAUCUGCAUGAGCUUUCCACCGGUGGUGCCAAAACCGAGGGGCUGGUAAAUGGCUGAAGCCGCAAUGAAAGAUUGAUAAUCCCAAAAGCCAACAGCGUGAGCGACGGGGGAAUUUCUCUUUGAGAAGAGAUUCUCAAACUGGUAAGUCUGGAAGAAAUCUGAAAUUGUCUGAUUGCAACAGUAUAUAGACCAAUCUUUGCACUCCCAUCCUCUGGUACACACCUUCUUCCCCUUCACCAUCUUCACCACCGUCUUCUCUGAAUCAUCACCAUUAGCUGCCAGUGCCCAAUUGACCAAUAACAAAGCCACAACCAUCAAAAUGCGCCUACUCUUCUUCUCCAUCCUUCUAUGGGGAAUGAGGGUUUCUAGAUCUGAUUACGAUUUUGCUUCGACUGGAGUAGAGAGGAAACUAAAAGAGAACUUGCCAGUGUUAGAUCGACCGUCUUUUUCAGGUUCCGUAAACCAGCAAUGACAUAUGUGCUUAAAUCGCG